AAGGAGGCUUUGACCAUGUCCUGGAUGGAGACUGGACCCCAUCCAUUCACAGUAACUCUGUGACUGUUUUUUUUCUUCUGUUUUUUAAGCUAUGAUUGUAUUCAAUGUAAUGUAAUCAAAAGAAAUGCACGUAACUCCUCAUUGCACCACUAUAUCCAUGGAAAACUCCAAAUACCUAGUCGCCAUGAACGCACCGGAAGACGUCAUGUGCCCAGAGGCGUGGACACUGCCUCACCAACUCUUACCCAAUCACCACAGAAGAACUUAGUCACCUUUAAAGCCUCUAGAGGGCGCUGUGCUCCUAAAGUGAAGGAAAACAGGAAGUGACGUUCGUUCUAAAGACGAAAGAUCUAAAGCCCUCUGAGGGCAAAUUAACGAUACUGUGCUUUACAAAAUAAAAUAAAAUGAAUUAUAUAAUCAUGGCAGAAACUGACACCGCCCCCCUGCGAGGUCUACAAGCAAAAUAAAUCGUGGACAUGUUCACAGCAGCCAUCUACUGUGACCCCAAGGACCACAGGUGAAAUGUGACCUCUGACCCUCUCUGUCACAGAGGGGGGGGGCAGGGGGCCGUGAGGUUGGAUCAGCGCUGUGAAGCAUCCAGUGAGCUCCUGUCCUGUCGGGUCCAGCAGCUGAAGCAGCGGCCCAUGUGAUGGAGACGUGUGCUUCUGAGUGAUGUCAUGAUCUACAUGUUAAAGGUGGACACACGUGUGGGGAAGGACGCAUUGUUCCGUAGCUCUGAGGACCAGCUUGAGACGUCUCCUGGUCUCCAUGGCGAUGGGGGUCCUUCCUAUACUGAAGCAGGACCAGAGUGGGAAGGUACCAGGAGCACCAGGAGCCUCCUCUCUGUUAGAACCACACACACCAUGUGACACGUCCUCUCUGUCCUGUCCUCCAGGACGGAUGUAUUUACAGUAGAUGUUUAGUGUCUUUAUUCAUGUCCUUGUUCUAGUAAACACGUUCCUCUCAGGGCUUCACAUGCGUUCUUUUUAGAGCUUUGAGCUCCAUCCGAGUUCCAUCUGACCCCUUUUUGUUUGAGACUCUGCUUCUCAGAACAAAACACACAAGGAAAUGUAAAGAAGAAAAGACAAAUAUAUGUGUUCUAUCAAUCCAUCCUUCUUCUCUUUGGUACAUUUACACCAUGAGGCCUUGUUAACAUUUAAGGUCUUCAGAGAGCAGCCAGUGAGGAAAUGUCCCUCCUGAGCUGCUGUAGGUUCAGGCUCCUCCUACUUCCUGGUUCACUCAUUAGUCUAAAGGCCGCCAUUACAUUGUCAUCAUUGAGCUGUAGGUACUUUUAUCCUCCGUGUUUUACCACUAAUGAUUUGACCUUUGGUGACUCUUCUGGUUUGAGUCACAGAUCCAGUUCAAAUCAAGGCCCAAACCAGGUGUUUUAC